GGCCAAAGUAACUUGUUCAGUCUCACUUCCCCUUACUGGCCAUGCAGGAGUACACAUAUGACUAUUAGGACUGGUGGAGCGAUAUUAUUCAUCUUAAACAGUAUUGGAAGCAAAAAAUACCAGAUUACACACAUGUGAAGAACGUGAAGAAAGUGCAAGAAAUCUGUCGACGCAUCUAUUUCUAUCCUAUCCUAUGAAAAAGUUUUGGAUCUCACCAUAUCAAGUUCGGAUACUGGGCCCAUACUCCUAAUCAGGAUAUUAGUUUUCACCACUGUGGGCACGCCUAAGAAAAAAGGGAAAAGAAUGAAUGAGAGAUGAGCCAUAUCAAAACUGGAACACACAGAAUAUUCGUUUUGUGAAAGGAAGAAGAAAACGAGUAUCUAGAUAUGCUGGUGAAAAUGUGAUGUGAUAUAAAAGCGCAGCUUGAAGCGAAAUCGAAUCCAGACACUCGUUUUACCGUCUUCAAUUAUCGACUUUGUCGUUGUGAUUUGUGAGAGGUACAAAGUUCUAUUCUCUAUUAUUUAUUCCGGAAUUAUAACUGUUGUAAUAUUAUUAUUUUUGGUCAAGGCACGCAACAGCUUUACAAUGAAAUAUUUAAACGAAACAAUGAAUAUUUCUCAGAUGUUUGAUAUAUUGUAUUCACAUAAAUAUUGAUGACUCGUUAGAUACACUCGAUUUAAUUCAAAGGAUAAUUGCAUCUCUUGUUGAAACUGCCUCGAAAUCUGUUCUUAAAACAUUCAGAGGCUUUUACAAGUUGCACGAUCUACGUACAUGUCUAUAAUUGCUUAAGAUGCACCUUUGAGUUUCAUGCGUCAGAAGCGCGGUGGCUUUGAUACGGUGGCGAUUGAAAUUUUCAUUAUUUCAAGAUGCAUGCAAAGCGUUUGCACAUGGCGUAUAAAACAAGGGCAAUUGCAUUAAAUAAGCGACCUGAAUAACAAUCAACGAUAUUAUAAUUCUACUGGAUGGAAUACCAAGAAGCGUACGAUGUUUUUCAAUCGAUAUGCAAUCGAUAUAUUCGAUAUAUCUAAAAUCUAAAAUCUUCGUAUCGUAAUUUGUAACAGUGUAAAUUGAUAUUUCAAAAUACAUACGUAAAUAUGUCAUAAAA